rnacentral:pre_miRNA from 1 species
UGCUGUUGGGAGACCUUGGUCUGCAUGCUAUCUGUGUGCUUAUUGAAGGGAGUUCAGGGCAGGGUUUCCCCUACAGAGG